GACAUUGGUGAGUAAUAUCCUUGAAAGCGGUGGAUGGUGUGCUCGGCGUCUGACCAGUAGGCCGCUCCAUCUGCCUCUCCUGUGGCGACCGCGUUGUUUUGGGUCAGCCACUGGGAUAAGAUUGCAUGUCCAGGGUCGAGGUCUGAACAAAGGAUCCACUUCGAUCCACAGACGUAUUCCUGGUAAUGAUGGACCCGAAGCGAGUCGACCCUCUGUCGGCGCCAGCUGAUUCUCCUCAGAGACAUGGAGGAAGAGGAAGGGGACAAUGCUGUGAAGGCAUGUUGUGAGGGAGAUGUGGGCCGUUCCAGUACCAGCGGGUGACAGUUACUCCCCUGAACCAGCAAAACAAGACCAGCUAAUUCACACUGACUCCAGGCUGCAACUGCUCCUUCCUGUUGAAGAUUUCCUGUCUGUGUGUCCAAAGCCCCGACCCUGACUACAGCCUACCCCAGACCUAGGUACUGUACAGCCCAACUGUCUACUGCCUAAUAGGUCUGGGUGCCAUUUAACAAGUCAAAACACCAUCUAUGCCUGCAAAGAGUCAAGGUCAUUAAAAACUUCUUCAGGAUCGGUGGGUCCCCUGCGGGACUGUUGAGCUAACGUGGGCUAAUGCGAUUAACAUGUGGGUGUAAGGAACAAUAACAUUUCCCAGAACAUAGACAUACAGUUGAAGUCGUAAGUUUACAUACACCUUAGCCAAAUACAUUUAAACUCAGUUUUUCACAAUCCCUGACAUCUAAUCGUAGUACAAAUUCCCUGUCUUAGGUCAGUUAGG